CCUACGGGAGGCAGCAGUGAGGAAUAUUGGUCAAUGGACGAGAGUCUGAACCAGCCAAGUAGCGUGAAGGAGGAAGGCCCUAUGGGUUGUAAACUUCUUUUAUAUGGGAAUAAAAUGUUCGACGCGUGGCAGUUUGUAUGUACCAGAUGAAUAAGGAUCGGCUAACUCCGUGCCAGCAGCCGCGGUAAUACGGAGGAUACGAGCGUUAUCCGGAUUUAUUGGGUUUAAAGGGGGCGUAGGUGGAUUGUUAAGUCAGUGGUGAAAGUGUGCGGGUCAACCGUGAAACUGCAGUUGAAACUGGCAGUCUUGAGUAGGGUAGAGGUGGGCGGAAUUCGUGGUGUAGCGGUGAAAUGCUUAGAUAUCGCGCAGAACUCCGAUUGCGAAGGCAGUUUGCUGGACUGCCACUGACACUGAGGCUCGAAAGUGUGGGUAUCAAACAGGAUUAGAUACCCCAGUAGUC
rnacentral:rRNA from 1 species